CUAGCGGUACUCGCAAUGCAUCUACAUAUGGUGUCGUCAGCUCGUGUCGUGAGAUGUUGGGUUAAGUCCAGCAACGAGCGCAACCCUUGGAUUCAGUUGCCAGCACAUAAUGGUGGGAACUCUGGAUCAACUGCCUACGCAAGUAGUGAGGAAGGUGGGGACGACGUCAAGUCAUCAUGGCCCUUACGCCUAGGGCAACACACGUGCUACAAUGGCAUCUACAACGCGCUGCAAUACCGUGAGGUGGAGCGAAUCGCUAAAAAGAUGUCUCAGUUCAGAUCGGAGUCUGCAACUCGACUCCGUGAAGUUGGAAUUGCUAGUAAUCGGGGGUCAGCACACCCCGGUGAAUACGUUCCCGGGCCUUGUACACACCGCCCGUGGGGCGGGGGCGGCGGGCCGGGCGCGGGCGCGGGA
rnacentral:rRNA from 1 species